rnacentral:rRNA from 1 species
UACGUAGGUGGCAAGCGUUAUCCGGAAUUAUUGGGCGUAAAGCGCGCGCAGGUGGUUCCUUAAGUCUGAUGUGAAAGCCCACGGCUCAACCGUGGAGGGUCAUUGGAAACUGGGAGACUUGAGUGCAGAAGAGGGAAGUGGAAUUCCAUGUGUAGCGGUGAAAUGCGUAGAGAUAUGGAGGAACACCAGUGGCGAAGGCGACUUUCUGGUCUGUAACUGACACUGAGGCGCGAAAGCGUGGGGAGCAAACAGGAUUAGAAACCCCGGUAGUCC